rnacentral:rRNA from 1 species
CUAAGUGAGCUACUUUAAAGCAGCUAUUAGAGCUAACCCGUCUCUGUCGCAAAAGAGUGGGGUGACUUUAAAGUAGAGGUGAUAGACCUACCGAACUUAGAGAUAGCUGGUUUUUUAAGAAAAGAAUUUUAGUUCAGCCCCAAGCCUUUCGUUAAGCAAAAAACCUUCUUAGGCCUGGGAGUCAUUCAUAUAGGGCACAGCCUAUUUGAAACAGGAUACAACCUAGAAUAUAGGGUAAAACAAUGUGAUUUUUCUAUAAGUGGGCUUGAAAGCAGCCACCUUUCAAAAAGCGUUGUAGCUUAUUGAUACUGAUUAUUUAAUAACCUCAAAAAUGUUUAACCCACACACACUAUUAAACUAUCCCAUAAAUUUAUGGGAGCUAUCAUGCUAGAACAAGUAACAAGAAAAAGAUUUUUCUCCAAAAUACAAGCUUUAGCCGCUACAGACAAACUACCGGCAAUUAACGCCUUUUAACUAAUUUAGUAACUCUAACAAGAAAACCCUAUAAACCCCCAGCGUCAACCU